rnacentral:SRP_RNA from 1 species
GCUGGGUGCAAUGACAUGGCUGUAGUCCCAGCUACCUGGGAGACUGAGGCCAGAGGAUCACUUGAGCCCAGGAGUUACGGACUGUAAAGAGCUGUGCCAAUCAGGUAUCUGCACUAAGUUCAGUAUCAAUAUAGUGACCUCCUGGCAGUAGGGGACCACCAGGUUGCCACAGGAGGGGUGAAUUGGCUCAGGUCUAUAAUGGAGCAGAUCAAAACCCUUGUGCUAAUCAGUAGUGGGAUUGUGCCUGUGAAUAGCCACUAUACUCCAGCUUGGACAACAUAGCAAGAAA